UACGUAGGGUGCAAGCGUUAAUCGGAAUUACUGGGCGUAAAGCGUGCGCAGGCGGUUAUGCAAGACAGAUGUGAAAUCCCCGGGCUCAACCUGGGAACUGCAUUUGUGACUGCAUGGCUAGAGUACGGGUAGAGGGGGAUGGAAUUCCGCGUGUAGCAGUGAAAUGCGUAGAUAUGCGGAGGAACACCGAUGGCGAAGGCAAUCCCCUGGACCUGUACUGACGCUCAUGCACGAAAGCGUGGGAGCAAACAGG
rnacentral:rRNA from 1 species